AAUAUCUAAGUUAUAAAACAUUGAUAAUUUUUUUAAUUGUUGAGGAUAUUCUUGUAUUUUAUAAGUAUAUUUUUUCUUAUAUAUAUAUUUUUUAAUUUAAUGAGACAAGAGAAAAGAAAGUUGAUACUUCUCAUUCCUUUGAGUUUUUCUCGUACUAAUCAACCGAAGGAUUAUAUUUUUUUAAAAAGAAAAAACUUUCAUUUUUUUAACAUUUGCUUUCUUUUAUGAAGCAAACAUAGUGAUAGGUAUGUUUAAGAUAGAGAAGAAAGUAAAAAAGAAUGAAAAGUAAUGGAAACUGAGAUGAUCUUUUAAAUUAUUUAAUAGGAAAGAAGGUUAAAAUUUUUCUCUCCUCUUAUUUAGUCAUGUAGAAAAUAGAAAGAAAGAGAUAAAUAUGCAUAUAAAAAUAUCUUUAAUAAAAAAAAUAAAUGUGAAAAAUAAGGUUUUUGUGUCUUUUUUACACAAAAUUCAUUCAUCUAUUUCUUCACAAUUUAGAAAUUAUAUCUUUUUUUAAUAUAUCUCGUACAGUAGUUAGUAAGUUAGUGACAAUAAAAAGAAUUUCUUAUGGGGUACUAAAGAUGCAAACAAAAUGAUACCUUGGAUGAGUUGGAGAAGAUUUGUUUGGCAAAAGAAAAGGGAAGAUUACGUAUUAAGGAUUUAAAAAUAUCAACGAGGCCUUGUUGGUUAAGUGGAGAUGGGUUAUGUUUCAAUGUUUCAUCAUAAGAGAGAACUUUGGGGGAAGGUACUAAAAGAAGGAUAUGGUGGAUGGCAUGCUUUGGUGGAGGAAAAGAACAAUAAAGGAGCCUUAAAAUGGUGGAGCGAUGCACCAAAGAUAUUCUUAAGAGAAAAUUCAUACUCGGAGGCUUUGUUAUCUUCUUCUUCGAGACUUUGUAGCUAGUGGUGAUUCAAAGCAAUUUGAAAUUGAGAAUCUCAUGGUGUAGGUGCGGAGCUUGAGUUGUUGGAGCUCAUAGUCCAUUUCUUUCUCUUUCUUUUCUUCUACCUCAGAGUGCUCGAAGUUCUUUCCUGAUUUCACUCUGUUUGGGGGUAACGGAAAUUGGAAUCUUGGGUUUUAGUUGAAAUGUUGGGUUGUUAAAUGAAUUAAGAACAUCAUGUUGAUAGAAUUUUUGAAAUUCAUAGUUGUGGGGAUGGAUUCGAGUGGGUUGCAUGUUGAAAUUCAAGGUUUUGAAAUUCUUGAUGAAAGGUUAAAGUGUUGAUGAUUUCUUUGAGUUGUGGUUGAUGCAUGUUGCUUUUCCUUUUAUUUCUGAGUUGUAUGUUGUGAAAAUUGGAAGGUUUGGUCGCAGGUAUAGGUUAUUGCAUAAGUUGAUAGAAUUGGAGAUUUGAGAUGUUCUUCGUUGAUGUUGAAAAAACUAAGUUUUGGGGCUAAACGUUAGUUUCACGUUGAGCAUGAAAAUUGGGAAGUGCCUUUGGAAGGCUAAGACUUAGAGUGAGAUUUUAAGUUGAGCAUGAGGGAGGUUAAGCGUGAGUUUCAUGUUGAGCAUGAGAGCUAAGAUUUCUGAAAAGCUGAGGCUUAGUGUGAGAGUUUGUGCUGAGCAUGGGGACUUAGUAAAACAAAUUUCUUUUCUAAUUGAGUUGGUUGCUUGCUUAAUGAAUGAGUUGUAUGUUGAAAGUUUGUUGUUUAAGUUGGUUUAUAAUUAAAUGAUGAUGAAUAAGUUGUAGGGAUGUUGUUGUAUGAUAAAGAACUUUAUAUGUUGAAUAUUGAUAAUUUGUAUGUUGGUGAUUAUGUUGUGAGUUAGUAGUUGAAAGUUGAGUUGAGUAGUACGUUGUGUAGUUGUGUUGGGAUUUUAUACGUAUAAUGUUAAUGUGUUAUUGAGAUGUAUGAUGAGUAAAAAGUUGAAUAUGAGUAGUGAUGAUUAAGUUGUGAGAUGUGGAAUUGUAUGUUGAUUUCGUUGUUGUGUUGAAUAUGUAAAAUGUUAUUGUGUUGUUGAGUUGUGUUAACCAACCUAGGACUAGAGGAAAGGUUUUUAAAAGUUGAAUAUCUCAUUGUGUGAAUAUUGUGUUAUGGUGCUCUAAGAGACAAAUUUAUUUUGAGAAAGUUAACCCUUGAAGUGGAUAGUUGUGUUAAGUAUCCUCUAGGACUUGGUUGAUAUUGUGUGUGGGCAAGGUUGAGAUACACAUGUAUAAAGAGACCAAUUGAGUAAAGUACAAAGUCAAGAACUUAGUUCCUAAGCGAGUAUCGGAAGGCAUAGUACUUAGAAGAUAGCCGAUGAGUUAAUUCCAUAAAUGACUCGAUUAAGCUAACUAAUAUUGUGGUAGGCCCAAAACCCAGUUGUUCUACUUUGACAAUGGUACUGGACUUCCUUGUUUAAGUGGUGACAUUCGAGAAAUUGAGUUGUUGUAUUGUGGAUUUAUAUCCAAUUUGUUGUUGAUCUAGCGAGCCCAAGAUCACCCUGUGUUGUGGGAGAUCUCCUAGUUUAAAUGCGUGACGGCGCAUGUAAUUAUUGUGUUAAAAAUAUUGUGUUACUAUGAUGAUUAAACUGUGUUGAGAAUGUUGUGAUGUUGAGUCAAUAUUAUGUGGGGGUCAACGAAAUUGUGUUGAUAUGUGUUGUACAUUGUGAUGUCUUGUGUUAACAGUGUUGGAGGUGAGAUGAUGAUGUGAUGUUGUACUAAAAGUGUUGAUGUUCCUAUGUUGUAUAUAUAUGUUGUUUCUUUUUACUCUAGCUUAACCUCACAUAUUUUCAUAUGGUUUGGAUUGAGAUAGUCAUAUGUGAUAAGAGAGCAGGGCAAAGAUAGGACAAAAAUAUUGUAGUGGAGGCCAUACAAUGACAUUGGAGCUGGAUUAUUUUUUAUGACUACUUACUUGUGAUGGAUUUGUAUAGAUAGUUGUAAUUGUUUGACUGAUAACUUAAUUCUAUAUUUAUAUUUACAGAAUUAUUGUAUGUAUAUUUCACAUAUUUGUGUAGUUGUUUCAUCUUUAUAUGUAUGUGAUAUAAUACAUAUUUUAAUAUUUGUAAGUAUAUGAUCUUAAGUUAGUUAUUUUUUGUUGUUAGUAACUGUGUCGUUUAGUGUAGGGACCAUGGUGGGUUGAUACAAUUAACAUUUAUGAUCUUAGUUUAUAUUUUAUAUAAAUAUAAUUUUUAUUAUAUAUUAUUAAUUAUUUCAUAUAAAAUAUAAUACUUAUAUUUUAUAUAUUUAUUUAAUAAAUUUUAAUUCUUAGAAUUGGUCCCAAGCAUAAUUUUUUAGAUUUGUUCCUUAAUUUUGUUAUAUUGGAUAGGUCUUGCACCAUCUCACCAAAGAUAUCUCAGUUCUCACCAUAAGCCUCAGAUGGUUAGUACCUUGGCUAUAGGGUAUGUAUGAAUACUAAUCGAUAGGUAUUACUCCUAAAUCGAGUAGUCCUCGACAUGUCGAGAUCCAUUACUUUGUGAUCGAGUUUAGCAGAUAGUAAUGUCUAAUCAUUACUCGACAAUUAAAGGUUUUGAAUGUCCUUUAAUGUUUCAUUGACUAAUGAUAAUUGUCAAAUAGGCAUUCAUAUUUUAUUCAAUUUAGACAAUUAUUGAUAUAUAUUAUGCUUUUAAAUCUUUUUUUUUUUGCCACAAAACUCUAAGUCAAGACAUAAUUUAAUUUUAGUUUAAUUAUUUGAAUACUAGGUAUUUUUUAUGUUAAAAUAUUACAGGGAUAAGAUAAUUUGCAAAGCUACAAAGUCUCGAUCAUAAUUUUUACUCCAAGCUAUUGAAACAACACUUAAAACAGACAUUUGGUCGUUCAAAGCGAGCCUCUUAGGCACUCUAAGUGAGAAGAAUUCGCUUAGAAUUACCACAAAUUCACUCUGAACAAUUGAAGAUAGAGGACACCCCUGAAAGUAUUCACUUGGUUGCUCAAAGCGAGCAACACAGAUGCUUUUAGAGACUGGAUCCAAUCCAAGACCCAUCAUAAAUUAUUAUAAAAUUAGGAUUUCUCGAGGUUUAGGGGGAGAGUUCAAAUUAUAAUACAUAUUUCUUAGUAGAGUUUUAGAAAGAUUAAAGAGGGUUCUAUGAGACCAACACUGUAAUCACAGAUUGCUUGAAAAUUCAUCUAUAGUUGUAAUCCUUACUAAUAAGUUGCUAAUUUUUCCAUUGUUGAGGAUUGAAGUAACUACUUGAACUAUGUAAUUUUCUCCCUAUUUUUCAUUCAAUAAAGUAUUUUCAGUUAAUUAUUUUA